UGGCCCAUUAACUUAGUGGGUUAGAGCGUCGUGCUAAUAACGCGAAGGUUGCAGGUUCGAGACCUGCAUGGGCCAU
rnacentral:tRNA from 1 species